CCAGGGCCGCACCUGCGGCACAUGGAGGUUCUCAAGCUAGGGGUCUAAUCGGAGGUGUAGCCGCCAGCCUACGCCAGAGCCGCAGCAACACCAGAUCUGAGCCUCGUCUGUGACCUACACCACAGCUUGUGGCAACGCCAGAUCUUCAACCCACGCAGUGAGGCCAAGGAUCGAACCCAACCUCAUGGUUCCUAGUCGGACUCAUUAACCAUUGAUCCACGACAGGAACUCCAGGACCACUAAAUGCUGGGCCUCUGGAAGCCUUGGAUGCGAGGCGGUCUGUAUCAUAGGCAUUCGCCCACCUCUGCAAAGCGAAAGGAGAAACAUUCCGUCUGCCAUUGAGUGACGAGACACAGAUUCUUGGUGCCUGCCCACACACCCUGCCCUUCAAAACAAGCCUGCCAAUCAACCAGGGCCCCCCUGGCUCUCAACACUCCGGCCUAGACUCAGCCUCAGCAUCCUUGUCCACUGGACUGUGAUGCGUGGCAUCCAUGGUGACACUGAGUAGCCACUUUUGUCCUAUAAAAACACUAGUAAAGAUGAGCUGGCUACUUUCUGUCACUUUUGUGAAAGAUAAUGUAGGCAAACCUGGUAGAAUUUCCACCUGCUUCUUCAAGCUCAAAUACUAGAAUCAAACGUCUUCCAGACAUUGUAAUCAAUUAAUACUGUGAUACAGCUGGUCAAAUUACUCUUUUUAAUGUGCGUACGCUUAAUUACCAUCCACUUUUACAUCUAAAAAAUUCACUCUAAGUUGAGUGUUUCUAUCAAGAUGUUGGCUCUCUCCAGCACAGUCCAUUAGAUUGAUAAAAAUCCAUUUUAAAAUUUAGAGUCUGGCCCAGCAAUCCCACACCUGGGAAUCCAUCCCAAUGAAAUAAAAGCAUCCGUCUGGACAUCGAACAAAGAUGCUUAGUGUAUCACUCUGGGUGGCCGGGUGGGAGUGUGGGAAGAAACCCCUGGAGGCUAAAUGGAUGCCCCUCUGACACGUUCAAGAUGGGGCAGGACUGGGUAAAUCAUGGUACAUCCACACCAGGGACUAUCAGGCCUCAGCGGGAUGCAAAAAGACAGACAACGAGCAGUACGCAUAAAAUGAUUCCAUGUUGUAUCAAGCACAACUACCCCAAAGAAAAAGCUUUUAUAUCUAUAUAUGAAAAAUUUAGAAGGAAACAGAUUAGAUUGUUGGCAUGUUGCACCUCACAAGGAGGGGUUGACUGGAGGGGAGGGGUAAAGUGACAGAGGGUGGCACUAGGCCGAAAUGGGAUGGACAUGCUCUAAGAUGAACCUUACCAGAAGGUGCACUGACUCACACCAAGAAUGAGCCCAGCAAAGAGCCGGGCGGGCCUCACCCUGUCUGAGGCGUUACGGAGGCAUCUUCAUACAGAAGGACUUCCAUCCUCACACCUCAGGGAGGCCUGUAUCACGGUCCCCAUUAUACGAGUGACAGACAGGAGGCUCAGGGACCACACAGCUGAUAGAGAGAGCCCAUCAGCCCUGCUUCAAAAACGACACGCCUUUCUACAAUCUAACUAGUCUAUGAGAUUAAACGAGGGGGUAAAAAAACUAAGCCAAAAUGAGUCUUACCAAUUUGGGAGAAAUCUAGCAGGGAAAACGGGCCAAAGGCAUCUUUGCCAGGCGUUCCGCGGGGCACGCGCCACCUUUUCCCCCACUGGAGGAGCACAGCUGUGACCCACAGGGCCUGGGGGGCGCCACUCAGCACAGGGGCAGCGGCAGACAUGCCCUUCCUCCAGUCCCGCCUGGAAGC
rnacentral:lncRNA from 1 species